GGAAACCCUGACCCCUCACUGCCCUGCCUUGCUUUCUCCUCCUACCCAGAGCUUCUCUCAUAGCCGCUGGCUUCGGAAGCUGAAACAUGGGCACUUUGGCUGGCCUGGCUGGGAGAUGGGCCCACCAGGGAACUGGAGCCCACGUCCUCCUCGCGCAGGGGAUGGUCGCCCUUGCCCCACAGCUGAGUCGGGUAAGGCUGGUGUUUGCACUGGCUUUAGGGUCAUAAGUAGCCAGCUUGUUCAGGUGGACCCUUGGCCUAAAGUCCAGAAGUUCCUACAAUCAGCUGUACAUUACACAUCCGUUUAAUUUUUUUGGUCUUUGGGGGUAUGGAGGUUGAACCUAGGGCCUUGCACAUAAUAAAUAAGGGCUCCUUUGUUGUGCU
rnacentral:lncRNA from 1 species